rnacentral:rRNA from 1 species
AACGAACGUUGGCGGCGUGGAUUAGGCAUGCAAGUCGAACGAGAACCAGCUUUGUAGCAAUACAGAGCUGGGGAUAGUGGCGAAAGGGGCAGUAAUGUGUGGGUAACGUACCCCGGGGAUGGGAACACAGAGGUAACACUCGUAAAUUCCCAGCGAUUCGGUUGAGAGGCAUCUCUGGGCCGGGAAAUGAAUUUCGCCUCGGGAGCGGCUCACAUCGUAUUAGCUUGUUGGCGGGGUGACGGCCCACCAAGGCAAAGAUGCGUAGCGGGUGUGAGAGCACGACCCGCGCCACUGGCACUGAGACACUGGCCAGACACCUACGGGUGGCUGCAGUCGAGGAUCUUCGGCAAUGAGCGCAAGCUUGACCGAGCGACGCCGCGUGUGCGAAGAAGGCCUUCGGGUUGUAAAGCACUGUCGAGGGGGAGGAAAGCCGCAAGGUCUGACCUAUCCCUGGAGGAAGCACGGGCUAAGUUCGUGCCAGCAGCCGCGGUAA